UUCUUUUUUAUUUUGUCAAAAUUGCAAUUUAAUUCUCAAACUUUUUAAAAAAUUUUAUUUGGCCCCUUUCUCGUGUUUUCACUUCUAAUUCUUUCUAUAAAUUCACAUAUCUAAAAUCACUUUAUUUUCAAAAUAUUCCUUUUUUUUUACUUAUUUACCAGAUUUUCAUGUAAAUUAACUUAUUCAAUACCGACAUUGCACCACGUGUCCAAUAAAAAAUUUGGGAUGUUGCAUGACAAAUAGCCUUAAUUGAUAUUUUAAAAAAUAAAAAUAUAUAUGAGACACAUGGAGAUCUUUUAUUCAUCCGUGUAUUAAAGGAUAAUUCAUAUAAUUUUAUGCGCUAUUAGUGAACUAAAUAAUAGUGCAUUAUCUUAAAUGAAUAUUAGUGGAUUUACUUUUAAAAUUUUAAGAUGAUGUGUAUCAAAUAUUGUUAUAUAGUUACACCUUGUACAAGCCCAAAUAUGCCCGGGCCCAAACCCAAUAAAACUUGGGCCAUGUUAAACCCAAUUACAGGGCCCAAUUGGCCUAAAACAGCAGAAACCCUAGCAGCUAGCAGCAAAAUCAGCAGCCAUACCCCACACACGUCGCAAUAACCGUCGCACGUUCUCCUUCCACGCCGUGCACAAUGCCCGUACCUGCAACAAAAAGAACCACGAGCAGCAAGCAAGAGAAAAAACCAAAAAUAUAGCAUUUUGUAAAGAUAUUUGGCUAUAAAAAGCCAAUGGAUUUCUGUAAUAUGGGUUAGCAAAAAUUUUGUAUGAAAAUUAACAGGAAAAUAAACGAAAAAACAUUUUUGAAUGUGGGAUUUUGUCUUCUUUCUCAGUUCUUUUAUUAUUGUUUUUUAAUUUACCUUGUUCUUUUCUUUUGCUUCUUUUUAAAAAAAAAAAAGCAACAAAGAUAAACGAAAAAGGAGAAAGAAAGGAGGACUUACCGUCGUGAGAGUCGUCGGAGGGUGUCCUCGCUUCGUCGAAGUCUGAAACGGCAGAGGGGGGGCUGAGUCUGCUGUUGUGUUUUCAAACAAAAAGAAAAGUGACGUAGUUUUGUUUUAAAACAAGUUUUAAAUGGCUUUUUAUGCAAUAUAUUAAAACAGUGCCGUUGAAUGGCUAUGGAUCUGGGUGUCUUGGCCCUUGAUGGGAAAUUUGCGCGUUGAGUCCUCAGUUUUUAUGAAGUUUGUUUAAUUAUUUUUU
rnacentral:lncRNA from 1 species